CUGCAUAUACAGAUCCCUUAUUCCAUGACAACUUCUAAAAGCAGAAGUAGUCAUGGUGUUUGGAGUAACCCUUAGUAUUAGCAGUUAUAAUUAAGCAUUUAGGCCCACAAUUUACAUUUGAAGAAAGGCAAUUAGUAGCAGGGCCCCAAGGAGCAGGCCCAACACAUAGUGCUGAUCCGUUUAAGGUAGCUUUCUUACAAAACAUUGGGAUAAAAGGAG